GUAACUUUUUCAGCUUUGCGACAGUGAUUGAAGGGCUGGACGAGGAGCACAUCGAGAUACUCCAUCGAUCGUUUUUAUGGUCCUUCUAUCCAUUGAAGGGCGUGCAAUUCUCUGGACAGAUUAUUGAUUCCUUAUUACUCCGGCUGCUUAAACCAGUUGAUGACGAUCAGCUUUAUUUUGCUAUGGGGGACGGGAAGGUAUCGAGAUUCUCGAUCCUUGAAUUUGCCCUCAUUACAGGUUUGAGAUGUACUGGAGAAGAAGAAGUGAGAACUCGUAUUAUACCAAAUAAAAGGUUAUUGAAUUUAUGUUUUGGAGGUAAAGGGCCGGUUACACCACCACAGUUAGAGGACGCAUUUAGGAGAUGCGAUCACAUGUUAGACAAGUUGAAGUUAGGUUUGGUGUAUAUAUUGGAGAGUAUAUUGAGGUGUCGACAUCGUAGGACGUCGAUUGACCUUUUUUCAUUGGAUGUUGUUGAUGAUAUCGAUGCUUUCAACAGCUUUUCAUGGGGUCGGAGAUGUUACACCGAUACUCUUCACGUAUUUAGAAGGGUACAUACUAUGCCGAAAUCGGAAAUGGGCGAGCGCAAAUAUGAUGUAUAUGACUUUAGCAUGGCUUUGCAGGUAAAUAUUCAACUUAAUGUAAUGCGUGUUAAACUUUUUUAUUAAAUAGAUAAGUUUUUUUUUUGGCAGUUGUGGGCAUAUGAGGUUAUCCCUACUUUGGGUAGCAAAUGGGCGAUCAGAAGGGAGACUAACUGCCCACGAAUGCUUCAUUGGCGAGCACAUGAGAAGCCAUCGGCUAAGAUUUGACAGUUAUCCUCAACGAUCCUCAGGUGAGUAUUGUAUAUUUGCAAUUUAUAUUGUACGUACAUUUAUUCGGCUUGAUACUUGUUCGUUAACACGUUGAAAUAUGAUAUGUCAACUCGAAGUUCAUGCUGAGUUGGUUGUUUCGAUGAAAGAAGAAGAUCAAAUAUAUGUACGUGAAUUACAUGUUCCACCUACUGAAAACGAUCCAGUGUUUGAGUCUGUUCCGAAUAGAAAUAGAGUAUGUUUAUUUAAAAUCAUUAUUUAUUUUGACUUAUAAUAUUUAUGUGUGAAUUAUUAAUAUUAAUUGUCUUCUCUGUGUAGGAGCGUCAUCUAGUAGAACGACGAGCAUUUUCACUUAGGAGAUUUCCUUCACAUCCACCGAUGAGAUCUCCGUCGCCUCCACUGAUGAGAUCACCUCUACCGCCAUUAUCACAUUCUCCGAGGAGAUCUCCAUCUCGCGCACCCACCCAUCUCUCACGUGGAUCGCCUGCACCUAGUCAGACCCGUCAUUCAGAUGAUUUCUUUGCACGCAUGACUGGUAUUAUUAGAGAGGAGUUGGGAAUGAUGCGACGUGAUUUUACGACAGAGGUAGUAGCACUACGAGAGGAGAUAGGGUUGUUGCGACGGGAUUUUACGAUAGAGGUAGUAACACUACGAGAUGAGAUUGGAGUGCUGCGAUGAGAUAUAGGAGACCUUCAUACCGAAGUUGCAGCACUUCGAGGUGGAGGUGCAGGAGGAGGCCGAGAUAGAGGGGAUGGAGGAAGGGACGGGUGUCGGAGGGGGUGACCGAGGAGGUAGCGGAGGGGAUACCAGAGGUGGUAGUAGAGGGGGUUGCAGAGGGUGAGAAGACGCCAGAGAUGACAGAUGACGAUGUAAUAUUUGUGUCGGAGGGGGUGAUGGAGGUGCCGAAGGGUAAGAAGCGUGCUAAUGACGCGCCAGAGCUGAUGGUCGGUAAGAGAUCGAGAUUGUCAUCACAGUACAUCGUCUCCCCAUACACGAUCGAGGCGAAGAGAAGGGGUUUUGUUGAUGGGACGUUUCCCAAUCUUUUUUGUGACGUCGACCUGGUGAUUGGUUCAAAUCCCUUAAGUUCGAGUAAGUAUUUUAUUAUUUUGCUACUCUUUUUUUUGUUUUUUCGUAACUUUUUUUCAUUUUUCUGAGAUAGCUAUACCAUCAACAGUAUGAUUGUGCUCAACGCUAAAAAGUGGUUCGAAAAUGUAUUGACGACCUCAGCUUGACUCGCCGAUGAUGUAAGUUUUUUGAGUUUCCAUUUAUUAUGUUUAUAGAAGUUGUUGGUUCAUUUACUUAAACGACUUUAUCUUUUUGUUGGUGUUUUUUUGUAUCAGCAUAUCAACUUGGUUAUGGAAUUGUUACGCAAUCGGGCUCGGAGAUACCCGAGAUCUUAUGACAGUCCUAGUCGAGUUAUCCUAAACUCUGAGUUUGUGUGGUAGAUAUUGAGCAUCACGAGCUCCUAAGCAAGAGGAAUGAAUAUGUUCUGUCUGAGUACAUGCUGGAGUGGAUGAUCGGGCUACAGCUGAGGUGCGGAAAGUCGUGGACGGAUUGUACAUGUAUGUACAUUCCAGUGAUCGCGAACUCACACUGUUUUUCAAUGGAGAUCGUAUUUGCUGAUUCCACUAUGUAUGUGUACGACUCUUAUCAUAGCUGUCUGACACAAAGUCAACUGGAGCAAAUAUUGGAGCCAAUAGCUGUGAUCGUGCCCAUGAUGGCUAGUCAUGCGAUGAUCGAGCAAAUGACAAAUUAGUCAUUGUGCAGAACGUGACGACGACAAGACAAGAAAGAUCGUAAGGAUUUAAAACUUUUUAAUUUUAAGAUUUAAUUUUCAGUUAUAUGUUAUCGAACUAAUAUAUUUUUCUUCGGUUACAGGGGCAACUGUGACUUAUUUGCAAUAAAGUACAUAGAAUUUUUUAGCAUUGGUUGCAAUGUUGAUACAAUAAAUCAGUCUUGGAUUGAUACGUGGAGGCAUAAAUUAGCUUGUGAUUGUGAUCCUUAGUGCAUUGUAUAUUAUUUUAUUAAAAUGUAAAUGUUGCUUACUUCAGUAUGAUUCGUGUUGUAAUGUAAUAACUUUUUUAAAUAUUUAAUUAGAGAAAUACUUAAAUGAAAACUUGUAGUAA
rnacentral:lncRNA from 1 species